GACGAACGCUGGCGGCGUGCUUAACACAUGCAAGUCGAACGGAAAGGCCCUGCUUUCGUGGGGUGCUCGAGGGGCGAACGAGUGAGUAACACGUGAGUAACCUGCCCUUGACGGUGGGAUAACUUCAGGAAACUGGGGCUAAUACCGGAGAGGAGCUCCUGAUGCAGGGUGGGGGUUGGAAAGCUUCGGCGGUUGGGGAUGGACUGGGGGCUUAUCAGCUUGUUGGGCGGGUAGUGGCUUACCAAGGCUUCGACGGGUAGCCGGCCUGAGAGGGUGACCGGCCUCAUUGGGACUGCGAUAGGGACCAGACUCCAACGUGAGACAGCAGUGGGGAGUCUUGUACAAUGGGCGGAAGCCUGUUGCAGCAGCGCCGCGUGCGGGAUGACGGCCUUCGUGUUGUAAACCGCUUUCGCCUGUUACGAAGCGUGAGUGACGGUAAUGGGUAAAGAAGCACCGGCUAACUACGUG
rnacentral:rRNA from 1 species